UGAUAUCGACUUCCAAAGCCACUUUGAGAUAGCUAGAGCUGUGGACUCUUAUGACAGAAUAUUGAAGUCACUUCCUGUUAUUUAUGUGGGCACCAUGACCAGGCUGAAACAGUAUCUUCAAGCCAUGGUUGAAGCUGCUAAAUCUUCUCUCAAGCAAAACUCAAUGCCUCUUCCUCCAUGGAGAUCACUAGCUUACUUGCAAGCAAAGUGGCACUCACCAUACCAGAGACAUUUGAGCCCAGAGGAAGAAAAUUUUAGCAGCAUCAGCUCUUCUGACCAUAAGCAGUGCAGUGAACAUUUAAAAAGGCUGCAAUCUUCGCUCCAAUCUGAAAUGGAAGAAGAGCGACUCUUGAAGCCCAUGAACACCGAUAACAACUGGAGAGUGAAGCGUGAGAGGCGAAGACAUUCCUUUUUGAGGGGUCAUUGAAGUGUAUAGAAAUUUUGCCCGGGAAUUGCAAGUUCCCUUUGUGAGAGGUUAAUUGUAUUGCGGCUUUCAUGUUCAGUAAUUCUUUUUCCUGAGAUGAAUAAAUGAAGUCCAAUUUUAUACAGAGGACAUAAAGGACAAUAACACAUCAUAUGUGGAGUCGUACAUUUUAUUUUCAUGUUUUGCGCAUUGGCAGCAAGUGACAGUAUCAGAUCUUCCGAACUGCGGGGUUUGUUAUCAAUCCGUGGCAGCAUCUCUGGCUCUGGUGGUACUUGUUUCACCAAAGUGCAUAAUUUGACAGGUCUUUAUUUGUUUAUUUUUAGUAUAAAUUCCAUCUUGAAUAUAUUCCAUGCCAGCUAUUUCAUGGCUAAGGGAAUUUUGUUCUAAAA
rnacentral:misc_RNA from 1 species